rnacentral:tRNA from 1 species
GAGGGUGUAGCUCAGUGUUAGAGUGCAUGCUUAGCAUGCACAAGGUCCUGGGUUCAAUCCCCAGUACCUCCA